UGAUUGACGGUGCUUGCAUCUGAUUGAUUUUGGUUGCCAACGAGUGGCGGACGGGUGAGUAACACGUAGGUAACCUGCCCAGAAGUGGGGGACAACAUUUGGAAACAGAUGCUAAUACCGCAUAACAGCGUUGUUCGCAUGAACAACGCUUAAAAGAUGGCUUCUCGCUAUCACUUCUGGAUGGACCUGCGGUGCAUUAGCUUGUUGGUGGGGUAACGGCCUACCAAGGCGAUGAUGCAUAGCCGAGUUGAGAGACUGAUCGGCCACAAUGGGACUGAGACACGGCCCAUACUCCUACGGGAGGCAGCAGUAGGGAAUCUUCCACAAUGGGCGCAAGCCUGAUGGAGCAACACCGCGUGAGUGAAGAAGGGUUUCGGCUCGUAAAGCUCUGUUGUUAAAGAAGAACACGUAUGAGAGUAACUGUUCAUACGUUGACGGUAUUUAACCAGAAAGUCACGGCUAACUACGUGCCAGCAGCCGCGGUAAUACGUAGGUGGCAAGCGUUAUCCGGAUUUAUUGGGCGUAAAGAGAGUGCAGGCGGUUUUCUAAGUCUGAUGUGAAAGCCUUCGGCUUAACCGGAGAAGUGCAUCGGAAACUGGAUAACUUGAGUGCAGAAGAGGGUAGUGGAACUCCAUGUGUAGCGGUGGAAUGCGUAGAUAUAUGGAAGAACACCAGUGGCGAAGGCGGCUACCUGGUCUGCAACUGACGCUGAGACUCGAAAGCAUGGGUAGCGAACAG
rnacentral:rRNA from 1 species